rnacentral:rRNA from 1 species
AUGAACGCUGGCGGCGUGCCUAAUCCCUGCAAGUCGAGCGAACAGACGAGGAGCUUGCUCCUCUGACGUUAGCGGCGGACGGGUGAGUAACACGUGGAUAACCUACCUAUAAGACUGGGAUAACUUCGGGAAACCGGAGCUAAUACCGGAUAAUAUAUUGAACCGCAUGGUUCAAUAGUGAAAGACGGUUUUGCUGUCACUUAUAGAUGGAUCCGCGCCGCAUUAGCUAGUUGGUAAGGUAACGGCUUACCAAGGCAACGAUGCGUAGCCGACCUGAGAGGGUGAUCGGCCACACUGGAACUGAGACACGGUCCAGACUCCUACGGGAGGCAGCAGUAGGGAAUCUUCCGCAAUGAGCGAAAGCCUGACGGAGCAACGCCGCGUGAGUGAUGAAGGUCUUCGGAUCGUAAAACUCUGUUAUUAGGGAAGAACAAAUGUGUAAGUAACUAUGCACGUCUUGACGGUACCUAAUCAGAAAGCCACGGCUAACUACGUG